UUGUUUAUCGAAUCAGCACAUAUACUAACAUUGGAACGAUACAGAGAAGAAUAGCAUUGUACCCUGUGCAAGGAUGACAUGCAAAUUCAUACAUAAACAAAAUUAAG